UACGAAGGGGGCUAGCGUUGCUCGGAAUCACUGGGCGUAAAGCGCACGUAGGCGGCUUUCUAAGUCAGGGGUGAAAUCCUGGAGCUCAACUCCAGAACUGCCUUUGAUACUGGUGAGCUUGAGUCCGGAAGAGGUGAGUGGAACUGCGAGUGUAGAGGUGAAAUUCGUAGAUAUUCGCAAGAACACCAGUGGCGAAGGCGGCUCACUGGUCCGGUACUGACGCUGAGGUGCGAAAGCGUGGGGAGCAAACAGG
rnacentral:rRNA from 1 species